rnacentral:tRNA from 1 species
GUCCAGGUAGCUCAGCUGGUUAGAGCAAAGGACUUAAAAUCCUUGUGCCAGUGGUUCGAAUCCACUUCUAAGCG